AUUGAACGCUGGCGGCAUGCUUUACACAUGCAAGUCGAACGGUAACGCGGGGGGUAACCCUGGCGACGAGUGGCGAACGGGUGAGUWAUACAUCGGAACAUGUCCUGGAGUGGGGGAUAGCUCGGCGAAAGCGNANUUAAUACCGCAUACGCUCUGAGGAGGAAAGCGGGGGACCGUAAGGCCUCGCGCUGCAGGGGUGGCCGAUGUCGGAUUAGCUAGUUGGUGAGGUAAAGGCUCACCAAGGCGACGAUCCGUAGCUGGUCUGAGAGGAUGAUCAGCCACACUGGGACUGAGACACGGCCCAGACUCCUACGGGAGGCAGCAGUGGGGAAUUUUGGACAAUGGGGGCAACCCUGAUCCAGCCAUGCCGCGUGAGUKAAGAAGGCCUUCGGGUUGUAAAGCUCUUUCGGACGGGACGAAAUGGUUAGCGUGAAUAACGCUGACUGAUGACGGUACCGUAAUAAGARGCACCGGCUAACUACGUGCCAGCWGCCGCGGUAAUACGUAGGGUGCGAGCGUUAAUCGGAAUUACUGGGCGUAAAGC
rnacentral:rRNA from 1 species